UCACUGCUUGCGCAGGCAGUCUCGUUAGAGUCCCCGGCAUGACCCGCUGGUAACUAACGAUAGGGGUUGCGUUCGUUGCGGGACUUAACCCAACAUCUCACGACACGAACUGACGACAGCCAUGCAGCACCUCGCUACCGGUCCGAAGAAGAUCCCCUUUCAGGGACUGUCCGGCAGCGUUCGAGCCUGGGUAAGGUUCUUCGCGUUGCAUCGAAUUAAUCCACAUGCUCCACCGCUUGUGCGGGCCCCCGUCAAUUCCUUUGAGUUUCACCCUUGCGAGCGUACUCCCCAGGUGGGAUACUUAUCGCGUUAGCUUAGGCACUGCAUCUGACGACGCAGCACCGAGUAUCCAUCGUUUACGGCGUGGACUAC
rnacentral:misc_RNA from 1 species